rnacentral:rRNA from 1 species
CAGUCGUACCGGCGGGUAAUCAGCCUUUCGGGUAUGAUUCUGUGGAGUGUGGGGAGCUAAACACCCUCAUGCCUGCAUAUUCGUGCUCUUGGGUGUACUUGCUCGUGUGGUUGGGGGAAUGUGGCACCUCCGGGUGUGUUAUAGCCCCUUUCCGCAUACGCCGGUUGGGAUCGAGGACCUUCAGUGCACGCUUCGGUUGUGCUUUGAUGCUGGCGUAAUGGCUUUAAGCGACCCGUCUUGAAACACGGACCAAGGAGUCUAACAUAUAUGCGAGUGUUU